GAUGCAAAAAUGAGUGAUAUUUAAAGAUAAGAUUUAUAAAUAAAUUACAAGUAAAGCGUUGGUGAAUAAUUGAAGAAUUGCACAGAAGUUAAAGAGAAUAUUUGUCAAUUAAUUGUAAAAUUAAAUGACAGAAAAAUAAACGUAAAUAAAAUAAAUUAAAGAAAGUUUUACUUGUUUAUAGAACAAUUUCCUAAAAAUAUAAAUGUAAAGUGUUUAAUCUUUUAAGCAUAUUUGAUAACGUUGUCUCAAACAUGUCCCCCAGCUAAUUGAUAAAUGUGUCAGCUUCGAAGGCAUAAAGAUAAUUGUAUAUACUUUUAAAAUUAAUAGACUUGAACAAUUAAGAUUAAGUAAUUCUGCCUUUAACCGACAAAAAUCCAUUGUUUAUUAAAAGAGAUCAGAGAAAGCUAUUGUAAUGAGUAACAAAAUAUUACGUGUCAAAUUAAGUCCAGUCUGCUAUAUAAAGUCGUGCAAAACUAUUUGGUUCACUAGACUGUGAACCAGAAUAAAAUGUAGUUAGCAGACUGGAUUGUCUUUUAAAGGUUAGUAAAAAUGUUAAAUUUGUUUAAUAGUUUAUCUUAUAAAUUUUAGCAGAACGAGUUUUAAGAUGUUUUCCAGUAAAGAAAUUUUAAUCACAUUCACAAGUAAAAUCGUGGUACAGUUUAAAUAAAUAAGAGGUAAAGUUUGAGAUAAAAUUUAGGUAAAUGAUUUGUAUAAAAUAUUCUUAACAUAUAAAAAAGGAAUGAACUUAUUCGUAUAGAUAACUUUUAAAAAUACAUUUCUUAAUUUGAUAUUUGAUUAAAUAUUAAAGUAAACAAAUUAAGGGGAGAUAACAGAUGACACGACUAUUCAUUUAUGGCGCGUAUACUAUUGUCGGGUUUUAUAUUAUUGUUCGAUUGAUAUCGCGAAAUAUUUGAUGUAUAACUAUAAUGGAAAAGUAAUGUAAUCUGUAUUAUAACUGUUGUAUAUAAGACUAGACUGUGAACCAGAAUAAAAUGUAGUUAGCAGACUGGAUUGUCUUUUAAAGGAAUCGUUAGAUUGGAAUGUUUGAAUUAGAAACCGGUAGCCAAUAAGCCCGUGAAGGUCAUUUCUGCAUGCUAUAAAGUGUUGGAAAAAAGAAAGAUGUCAUAAAGGAUAUAUAGGCUCAUAGACAUUACUUGUUGUGGAGGAUUUUGAUAUUGGAAGUUGAUGACAACACAUAAAAUGCCAUCCAGUUAAUAGCUUUAGGUGAAGAUGCACUGACAAGUUGAGCGUACAUUGUGUGUGAUCGUACAAGAACUGUUGGAAUUUGCAAAUUUUUAUAAACAUUCAUUGUGACAAAAAUCUAUAUCAUAAACUAUCUACUUAUCACAUUGACAUGCUUUUUUGGUUAGGAUACACACAUGAUGUAGCAACUAUAUCUUGUCAUGUAGAAGAAAAUAAUUAUUUGUGAUAUAUUUAAGUCGGUUUAAAAACAUUAUGCAUGUGAUUUCAUUGACUGUUACUUGUGAUAUCAUAAGGUAUU